ACAGGUUACUUCCUAACAUACGAAUCAAGUCCAGGAUGUACACCAUAUACAAUCCUUAAGCAAGAACAAGUAUGUCUCUGUCAGUGGAAGAAAAGAGAGCUGAGAAUACAAGCGGUUUUAUUUAUGAAGAAAUACUCGAGUGAUAAUGUUAUAGGACAAAGAGAUCUUAAGAUGA